GAACCGUCCAAACGUUAUUCGGAAUCAUUGGGCUUAAAGGGUGCGUAGGGCGGCGCGGCAAGUCGGAUGUGAAUCCCUCGGCUUAACCGAGGAACUGCGUUCGAAACUGCCGUGCUCGAGGGAGACAGAGGUGAGCGGAACUCAGGGUGGAGCGGUGAAAUGCGUUGAUAUCCUGAGGAACACCGGUGGCGAAGGCGGCUCACUGGGUCUCUUCUGACGCUGAGGCACGAAAGCUAGGGGAGCGAACGGGAUUAGAUACCCCGGUAGUCCUAGCUGUAAACGAUGAGAACUUGGUUGGAGGGUCCUCCAUAACCUUCCGGCCGUAGCGAAAGUGUUAAGUUCUCCGCCUGGGGAGUAUGUCCGCAAAGGAUG
rnacentral:rRNA from 1 species